UUUGGGGUACAUUCCAAGCCAAAAUAUAACUCAUAUCACUUGGGAAUGCUUCGAUCAACGGCAUCCUUCGCAGCAAAGGCUGUCUUUGAAUAAUAAAACUGCAACAAUGCCAAAACAAUAGAGGAACGAUAGGAAGGUUGAAUUUCAUAGGAAUUAGAUUCCUUAAAGCAACAAGAAACCAAACAAAAACUCAGAAUUAGAUUUACAAGUUCCCAAAAAGCGUAAUGACCAAAUAACGAAAAAUGAUGCUAGCAUGCAAUUCAAGCAUCAAUUGAAAAAAAAAAAAAAGAAUAAAGAAUAAAUAAUUUGAACAAAAAUCUAUUGAUUUGAAGAGACAAUAUUUUAGCACACAAUCUAAAAGAAGCCGCCAGAAUAUCAUAAUAUGAAAGUAAACAAUUAAGCGCACCAUGCCACCACAUCCCAAAGCCUGUACACAUAUAAUUGCACACCACAUUAUUAAGGACACACAACAAUGAUUGUUAAAACAAAGAUGACUAGCAAUCUUGACAUAUACUACCCAUUUCCCAAAAUAAACAAGCUACUGAACUUAAAUAAAAGAGAACACAAAAUGAAGUAGAACAUUUCAUUAUUCUUUUCAAGGACACACUUCUCCUGUGGAUUCCAUCAAAUAGUAUUGUAAGGUCCAUUCCAAGAUCAAGUAGAGGAUUGCAUUUGUUACCGAAUAGUGUCACCAUUGCACGCAUAGUUGACAUCAGUGAAGGCAUACAAAGAACGAAGCUAAAUGAUAAAUCUAUUCUCUUAAACAGGUUGCCAAUUUUUUUCUUCCGACAUAGAUUGAUGGUGCUUGACAUUUUUCGAGAAUAUCAUUCAUGUUAAUAUUUGACUGUUUCAACUAUUUGAUCAAUCAAUUUAAUAGAAAACGAGAAAUGUCUGUCACAAAAUUCUGAACAAAACAAGAAAACUACAAUAUCCAUAAAAUGAUGUGAAAACCUUUUUGAGAUGCAGGUGACAAACAAUGCCAGCAACAGUCUCAAAACUAUCAUCUGAUGUUUCAAGCAUCAAGAACAAAUGAUAUUCACCUUAACCACCUUAUUUGAAUCAAUGAACACCUCUUAAGGUCAACAUUCCAACUAUUAGAAAAACGAGGAGUCGAGGACUGUAAGCAUCUAAUGAAGGAUGCUUCACAAACAAGGAAAAAUUUAGAAUAAGUUAUAACAAUUUUGAACAUCACAUUACAAAAAAAGAACUAGAUCAUUAUCUAGAUGGUAAUUAGUAAAACUAAAUUACGCCAUUUAGAUACUCAUGAAUCUAGAAGGUGAAAACAACUUUAUAAAAAAAUAGAAAAGGAAUAUGAAGAACUGAAACUCCAAAACAUAAAGUAUUUGAAAUAAGGACAAAUGUAGAAACAAGAUAGAACAAAUUUUCAAUAAAAAUCAAAAUCAUACAAAAUUUAAAGAUCACAAAAAAAAAAAAAAAUUAUUAACUAUAUGUAAAAAAAAAAAAAAAUUAAAAAAAAAAAAAAAAAAAAAAAAUUAUUAACUAUAUGUAAAAAAAAAAAAAAAUUCAUUUCUAACACAGAAGAAGGCAAAAGAAAAUAAAAUUUAAUACCUAAAUAUGCAUAUAAAGAACAGAUAAAUACAAACUAGGUGUAAAUCUAUAAGUCGAACACAUUCAUGCAGAAGGUCGAAACCAAACCAACAACCUAGUUCCAAUAUAAUUGAAAUAGAUCCAACAAUCUAAGAAAAUGAAAGAGAAAUUAAAAAUACCAAACAAACAUUCGAAUCGAUUGUAAGAAAAGAAGUUCACAAAUAUUCAAAGCACCUACCUGAAAUCUUCUUUUUCCUUCUCAACCGAGUUGAUAAUUGGGAUCCCAACAUAGAAAAUUGCACUUGUUCAAAGUUUAGGUUUGAAUGAGAAUAACACUACCUACUCGAAUAUCAGUUAC
rnacentral:lncRNA from 1 species